rnacentral:rRNA from 1 species
CGUACAAGCAGUGGGAGCACCUUCGGGUGUGACUGCGUACCUUUUGUAUAAUGGGUCAGCGACUUAUAUUCUGUAGCAAGGUUAACCGUAUAGGGGAGCCGCAGGGAAACCGAGUCUUAACUGGGCGUUAAGUUGCAGGGUAUAGACCCGAAACCCGGUGAUCUAGCCAUGGGCAGGUUGAAGGUUGGGUAACACUAACUGGAGGACCGAACCGACUAAUGUUGAAAAAUUAGCGGAUGACUUGUGGCUGGGGGUGAAAGGCCAAUCAAACCGGGAGAUAGCUGGUUCUCCCCGAAAGCUAUUUAGGUAGCGCCUCGUGAACUCAUCUUCGGGGGUAGAGCACUGUUUCGGCUAGGGGGUCAUCCCGACUUACCAACCCGAUGCAAACUACGAAUACCGAAGAAUGUUAUCACGGGAGACACACGGCGGGUGCUAACGUCCGUCGUGAAGAGGGAAACAACCCAGACCGCCAGCUAAGGUCCCAAAGUCAUGGUUAAGUGGGAAACGAUGUGGGAAGGCACAGACAGCCAGGAUGUUGGCUUAGAAGCAGCCAUCAUUUAAAGAAAGCGUAAUAGCUCACUGGUCGAGUCGGCCUGCGCGGAAGAUGUAACGGGGCUAAACCAUGCACCGAAGCUGCGGCAGCGACACUAUGUGUUGUUGGGUAGGGGAGCGUUCUGUAAGCCUGCGAAGGUGUGCUGUGAGGCAUGCUGGAGGUAUCAGAAGUGCGAAUGCUGACAUAAGUAACGAUAAAGCGGGUGAAAAGCCCGCUCGCCGGAAGACCAAGGGUUCCUGUCCAACGUUAAUCGGGGCAGGGUGAGUCGACCCCUAAGGCGAGGCCGAAAGGCGUAGUCGAUGGGAAACAGGUUAAUAUUCCUGUACUUGGUGUUACUGCGAAGGGGGGACGGAGAAGGCUAUGUUAGCCGGGCGACGGUUGUCCCGGUUUAAGCAUGUAGGCUGGUUAUCCAGGCAAAUCCGGAUAAUCAAGGCUGAGGUGUGAUGACGAGGCACUACGGUGCUGAAGUAACAAAUGCCCUGCUUCCAGGAAAAGCCUCUAAGCAUCAGGUAACAUCAAAUCGUACCCCAAACCGACACAGGUGGUCAGGUAGAGAAUACCAAGGCGCUUGAGAGAACUCGGGUGAAGGAACUAGGCAAAAUGGUGCCGUAACUUCGGGAGAAGGCACGCUGGUGUGUAGGUGAAGUCCCUGCGGAUGGAGCUGAGACCAGUCGAAGAUACCAGCUGGCUGCAACUGUUUAUUAAAAACACAGCACUGUGCAAACACGAAAGUGGACGUAUACGGUGUGACGCCUGCCCGGUGCCGGAAGGUUAAUUGAUGGGGUUAUCCGUAAGGAGAAGCUCUUGAUCGAAGCCCCGGUAAACGGCGGCCGUAACUAUAACGGUCCUAAGGUAGCGAAAUUCCUUGUCGGGUAAGUUCCGACCUGCACGAAUGGCGUAAUGAUGGCCAGGCUGUCUCCACCCGAGACUCAGUGAAAUUGAACUCGCUGUGAAGAUGCAGUGUACCCGCGGCAAGACGGAAAGACCCCGUGAACCUUUACUAUAGCUUGACACUGAACAUUGAGCCUUGAUGUGUAGGAUAGGUGGGAGGCUUUGAAGCGUGGACGCCAGUCUGCGUGGAGCCAACCUUGAAAUACCACCCUUUAAUGUUUGAUGUUCUAACGUUGGCCCCUGACCGGGGUUGCGGACAGUGUCUGGUGGGUAGUUUGACUGGGGCGGUCUCCUCCCAAAGCGUAACGGAGGAGCACGAAGGUUAGCUAAUCCUGGUCGGACAUCAGGAGGUUAGUGCAAUGGCAUAAGCUAGCUUGACUGCGAGCGUGACGGCGCGAGCAGGUGCGAAAGCAGGUCAUAGUGAUCCGGUGGUUCUGAAUGGAAGGGCCAUCGCUCAACGGAUAAAAGGUACUCCGGGGAUAACAGGCUGAUACCGCCCAAGAGUUCAUAUCGACGGCGGUGUUUGGCACCUCGAUGUCGGCUCAUCACAUCCUGGGGCUGAAGUAGGUCCCAAGGGUAUGGCUGUUCGCCAUUUAAAGUGGUACGCGAGCUGGGUUUAGAACGUCGUGAGACAGUUCGGUCCCUAUCUGCCGUGGGCGCUGGAGAAUUGAGGGGGGCUGCUCCUAGUACGAGAGGACCGGAGUGGACGCAUCACUGGUGUUCGGGUUGUCAUGCCAAUGGCACUGCCCGGUAGCUAAAUGCGGAAGAGAUAAGUGCUGAAAGCAUCUAAGCACGAAACUUGCCCCGAGAUGAGUUCUCCCUGAGACUUUAAGUCUCCUGAAGGAACGUUGAAGACGACGACGUUGAUAGGCCGGGUGUGUAAGCGCAGCGAUGCGUUGAGCUAACCGGUACUAAUGAACCGUGAGGCUUAACCUU